GAGGGUAUAGCUCAGUGGUAGAGCACAUGCUUAGCAUGCACAAGGUCCCAGGUUCAAUCCCCAGUACCUCCA
rnacentral:tRNA from 1 species